rnacentral:misc_RNA from 1 species
AAUGCACCUUGCGCCUCUUGGUAUUCUGAGGGGCACGCCUUUUUGAGUAUCGUGAAAUCCUCAACCCGAUUCCUUUUCAUUGAGAAAGGGGGACAAGGGCUUGGACUUUGGAGGUCUUGCCGGUCCCCCCCGAUCGGCUCCUCUCGAACGCAUUAGUGGAGCUCAUAAGCUCUCUCCGCCCCUCGGUGUGAUAGUCAUCUAUGCCGACGCGUGAGGGAGGGAAGGCGCCGCUUCUAACGAACCAUGCCUCGCCUUGUGCGAGAGCGUGGAUAUGGAACCCUUUGAUCUCAAAUCAGGUGGGACUACCUGCUGAACUUAA